rnacentral:rRNA from 1 species
CCUACGGGGGGCUGCAGUGGGGAAUAUUGGACAAUGGGCGAAAGCCUGAUCCAGCCAUGCCGCGUGUGUGAAGAAGGCCUUCGGGUUGUAAAGCACUUUCAGUGGGGAAGAAAGCCUUGGGGCUAAUACCCUCGAGGAAGGACAUCACCCACAGAAGAAGCACCGGCUAACUCCGUGCCAGCAGCCGCGGUAAUACGGAGGGUGCGAGCGUUAAUCGGAAUUACUGGGCGUAAAGCGCGCGUAGGCGGUCUGAUAAGCCGGUUGUGAAAGCCCCGGGCUCAACCUGGGAACGGCAUCCGGAACUGUCAGGCUAGAGUGCAGGAGAGGAAGGUAGAAUUCCCGGUGUAGCGGUGAAAUGCGUAGAGAUCGGGAGGAAUACCAGUGGCGAAGGCGGCCUUCUGGACUGACACUGACGCUGAGGUGCGAAAGCGUGUGUAGCAAACAGGAUUAGAUACCCGUGUAGUC